rnacentral:rRNA from 1 species
CCUACGGGUGGCAGCAGUGGGGAAUAUUGCACAAUGGGGGAAACCCUGAUGCAGCGACGCCUCGUGAGUGAAUAAGUAAUUCGUUAUGUAAAGCUCUAUCAGCAGGGAAGAAAAUGACGGUACCUGACCAAGAAGCCCCGGCUAACUACGUGCCAGCAGCCGCGGUAAUACGUAGGGGGCAAGCGUUAUCCGGAUUUACUGGGUGUAAAGGGAGCGUAGACGGCAAGGCAAGUCUGGAGUGAAAGCCCGGGGCUCAACCACGGGACUGCUUUGGACACUGUGUUGCUGGAGUGCAGGAGGGGUAAGCGGAAUUCCUAGUGUAGCGGUGAAAUGCGUAGAUAUUAGGAGGAACACCGGUGGCGAAGGCAGCUUACUGGACUGUAACUGACGUUGAGGCUCGAAGGCGUGGGGAGCAAACAGGAUUAGAUACCCGGGUAGUC